UUGAACUGGAGCAAAUCAAUCCCAAGGAUUAGGAUCAUUUUAAUAAAGUCAUAUUUAUAGAUUUUUAGUGAUUAAUUUAUGUUUAACUUAAGAAGUCAUUACCAUGGUCGUUGUGCCUGCCGAGGUCGUGUUUGUCAAUGAAGAGGUCAUGAUCUUUGUCCAGCUCCCAGAACUUGCAGUAGAUCACAUAGAAGUGCUCGUAGCUGGAAUUUAUAAAUAGGCAGUAUGAACAUAUCUCGAGUGGAACUCCGUGGCUUCCUUCAAGAAGGACAGGCCGGGAUGUGUGUCCACAACAUCCUGGACUAAAGGAACGAAGUCCUCUGUCUAUGAAUUUGUGGCCAUCCACUGGAGCGUGGAGGUUCUGCUGCGUUGCAAGGAACAAAGGCAUCUUCCAGUAAAGUGGGCACUCGCAGGCUUUUACUAUGUGUUUGAAACUCUCCCGAG